rnacentral:rRNA from 1 species
GAGAAGCUUUGAACUGACGCUUCGGUUGAUGAUCAAAGUGGAAAGCGGCGGACGGGUGAGUAACGCGUAGGCAACCUGCCCUUUGCAGAGGGAUAGCCUCGGGAAACCGGGAUUAAAACCUCAUAACGCACAACUGAGACAUCUUGGAUGUGCCAAAGAUUUAUCGGCAGAGGAUGGGCCUGCGUCUGAUUAGUUAGUUGGUGGGGUAACGGCCUACCAAGGCGACGAUCAGUAGCCGACCUGAGAGGGUGAUCGGCCACAUUGGAACUGAGACACGGUCCAAACUCCUACGGGAGGCAGCAGUGGGGAAUAUUGCACAAUGGGGGAAACCCUGAUGCAGCAACGCCGCGUGAAGGAUGAAGGCCCUUGGGUCGUAAACUUCUGUUCUAGGGGAAGAUAGUGACGGUACCUUAGGAGCAAGUCCCGGCUAACUACGUGCCAGCAGCCGCGGUAAUACGUAGGGGGCAAGCGUUAUCCGGAAUUAUUGGGCGUAAAGAGUACGUAGGUGGUUACCUAAGCAAGGGGUUUAAGGCAAUGGCCUAACUAUUGUUCGCCCCUUGAACUGGGCUACUUGAGUGCAGGAGAGGAAAGCGGAAUUCCUAGUGUAGCGGUGAAAUGCGUAGAUAUUAGGAGGAACACCAGUGGCGAAGGCGGCUUUCUGGACUGUAACUGACACUGAGGUACGAAAGCGUGGGGAGCAAA